rnacentral:rRNA from 1 species
UACGAAGGGGGCUAGCGUUGUUCGGAAUUACUGGGCGUAAAGCGCACGUAGGCGGAUCAGUCAGUCAGGGGUGAAAUCCCGGGGCUCAACCCCGGAACUGCCUUUGAUACUGCUGGUCUUGAGGUCGAGAGAGGUGAGUGGAAUUCCGAGUGUAGAGGUGAAAUUCGUAGAUAUUCGGAGGAACACCAGUGGCGAAGGCGGCUCACUGGCUCGAUACUGACGCUGAGGUGCGAAAGCGUGGGGAGCAAACAGG